rnacentral:rRNA from 1 species
GACGAACGCUGGCGGCGUGCUUAACACAUGCAAGUCGAACGGAAAGGCCCUGCUUGCAGGGUACUCGAGUGGCGAACGGGUGAGUAACACGUGGGUGAUCUGCCCUGCACUUCGGGAUAAGCCUGGGAAACUGGGUCUAAUACCGGAUAGGAGCCAUUUUUAGUGUGAUGGUUGGAAAGUUUUUUCGGUGUUGGAUGAGCGCGCGGCCUAUCAGCUUGUUGGUGGGGUAAUGGCCUACCAAGGCGGCGACGGGUAGCCGGCCUGAGAGGGUGGACGGCCACAUUGGGGCUGAGAUACGGCCCCGACUCCUACGGGGGGCAGCAGUGGGGAAUAUUGCACAAUGGGCGCAAGCCUGAUGCAGCGACGCCGCGGGGGGGAUGACGGCCUUCGGGUUGUAAACUCCUUUCGCUAGGGACGAAGCUUUUUGUGACGGUACCUAGAUAAGAAGCACCGGCUAACUACGUG